UGCUUAAAGAAAAAAAUGGAAGAGACUUUAAAUGAAAUAUGAAGAUAACAAACAAUAAUCAAAUUCAAAUUCACAUAAUUUUGAGAGAUGGAAGCAAAACUCUAUUCUUAUAAUGUCUCAUAGAACAAAAGUUUUAACGGACACAGUUUCAGGAAAUAAAUACCAUUCAGUUAAAACACUGACACCCUUCAACAUGUUCAACAAAGAUUAAUAUUAAUAUCUAGAUUUAAAAGAAUUGUUUUUGAACUUUUUUCCUAAAAUUUAUUAUAACUAUGUUUACCAUGUUUACAGAAUGCCUUGUUUCACAAAAAAAGAACACUGUUCAGAUAUUUUCUCUGGACUGUCAAUUUCUGCAUUUCAUAAUCAUGUGAUACCUGUGUUGGAGCCCUCCCAAAAACCUCCCCUGUAAGAUUUCAAAGUUAAGGAGAUCAUUCAAAUGACAGAGGUUUUGGUCCAUCUUGGUUUGUCUCAACAGUUAAUCUUUUGGAAAGCAGUGUUGGAGAAAAUAUCAGCAACAUGUGAAGACUGUGAUUUAGUUUCAUAUGAUAUGACUAAAGAAAGUUAAUAUUUUUGAUUCCAUGGUUGUAUGAACAAAUGCUUUGAACUUUCCAAACAUCAUUGAAAAAGAACAUAUGAUGACCAAACAAAAAUACAUAUUUGAACUUUCCACGAGUUUACAAUGAAGAACAUUUUGGGAUCUUGAUACAGGAUAUUAUUGUGUUUAGUGUUUUAGUGUUUUAUCUAAUUUAUUCAUAUUGUUUAGUGCAUUAAGGACAUACGCAACGUACCUUACCUACUGAUACUUUUUCGAGAUAUUCUUAAUUUAAGAUUAUAGUGCUAUCAGAUGUUCGUAGACAAAAAAUCAGCAUGCAUUACCAGGGGUUUUGAAAAGAUAUCAAUUGAUGAAAAUUCUUGUAUAAUUCAAAGAAAAAUAUACAAAAAUUACUAAACAUAUAUUCUAGAUGUUAUGUUUAUCCAAACUUGUUUUAGAAGAAGUGUACAAUAGCAUAUAUAGACAUUAAAAUUUAGCACACAGUUCCUUUAAGUAUUGGAACUCUUCAACUCCAAUGAAAAAGACAAUAAAGUUCAAACUAUGUUGCGUAUGUCCUUAAAUGCAAAAAAAUGUUUUAAAGUCACUCUUGUGAAACCCAUGCUAAGAACACAGGUCUCAAAUAUCUUAGAGAGUUAUAUUAGAGUUAUAUUGUUAGAAUUGAAGCUUAUUUAUAAAAUUAUACCUUAUAUCUUUAAAGAAAGUUUCACAAAAAAAUAGUCAAACUUGCAUAUACUGGUUAACAUGUUAAAAGAAAUAUAAUAUCCUGGAAGUGAUUAAGAAUAAAAAAAAAGUUCAUUUA